AGUAUUGUAUUAAAAAGCUAAGUAUAUAAAUUGCGUGCUAUCAUCUCCCACAAUACUCACAAAGAUGUAAAUUUAUGUCUUUUAACACCUUGUGGGCACAUUUUCUUAAAAACUAAGCAUAGAAUUACUUUGAAUUUUUGAAAAGAUGUGAUCUAUAUGAGUCUGCAUGUACUAAACUUGGCAUUUUGAUUAAAUAAGGAAGGGUUUUAAAGUUAUUAGCUUUUUAAUGUUUGUUAUGUGUACCCCAUGGUGGGCACAUUUUAGGCCAAUCAAGUGUAUAUGAUGGAUAUUUCUUGAUUUAGACAUAAUGUUUAAGAAUGUACUUGUGUACUAGUGAUGUCGUUUUGUUCAAUAGAUGUCUUCAAAUAGGAGAAAUUAUGAAGUGAAUUGGAAGGAGACAGGAGGUUAAAAAUUAUUGAAGGUGGUGUUUUACUGCCAAUUGAAGAUCAAUUUCAUCUGUUAUAUGGUUUAAUGGUAGGAACAAAAUACCUUUGCAUGCACUGUCUACCAUAUCGAGAAAACCAGGAGCAUGAGUCAUCAGCAGACUGUAAUCAUCAUUAAUAAUUGAAUCUACUUGUUUGUGGCAUGUCAUCAAGGAAUUCUACGAAGUCAUCAACAACACCUCAGUGAUAUUAAUAAUACAUAGUUAUUUUUAAUAAAAUUAAAUUUCAAAUAUUAUUGGUAUGUAUAUUUUCUCUCUUUUAUAUUUCCUCUCCUUUGUUUCCUUCACCUUUGGAGUUUAAAUUAAAAUUCUCAUGUUGAGAAUAUUUCCAGAACAGUCUUAAA